AUAUUGACACUGAGAUUCGAAAGCGUGGGUAGCAAACAGGAUUAGAUACCCUGGUAGUCCACGCCGUAAACGAUGUCUACUAGCCGUUGGGGUCCUUGAGACUUUAGUGGCGCAGUUAACGCGAUAAGUAGACCGCCUGGGGAGUACGGCCGCAAGGUUAAAACUCAAAUGAAUUGACGGGGGCCCGGCACAAGCGGUGGAGCAUGUGGUUUAAUUCGAUGCAACGCGAAGAACCUUACCUGGUCUUGACAUAGUGAGAAUCCUGCAGAGAUGCGGGAGUGCCUUCGGGAAUUCACAUACAGGUGCUGCAUGGCUGUCGUCAGCUCGUGUCGUGAGAUGUUGGGUUAAGUCCCGCAACGAGCGCAACCCUUUUCCUUAUUUGCCAGCGGGUUAAGCCGGGAACUUUAAGGAUACUGCCAGUGACAAACUGGAGGAAGGCGGGGACGACGUCAAGUCAUCAUGGCCCUUACGACCAGGGCUACACACGUGCUACAAUGGUAGGUACAGAGGGUUGCUACACAGCGAUGUGAUGCUAAUCUCAAAAAGCCUAUCGUAGUCCGGAUUGGAGUCUGCAACUCGACUCCAUGAAGUCGGAAUCGCUAGUA
rnacentral:rRNA from 1 species